rnacentral:rRNA from 1 species
AUCUUAGGCAAAUCCGGGGUACUCUAUGCUGAGAUCUGAUAGCAAGCUGUACUUGUACAGCGAAGUGGUUGAUGCCAUGCUUCCAGGAAAAGUCUCUAAGCUUCAGUUACACAGGAAUCGUACCCGAAACCGACACAGGUGGUCAGGUCGAGUAGACCAAGGCGCUUGAGAGAACUCUGCUGAAGGAACUAGGCAAAAUGGUACCGUAACUUCGGGAGAAGGUACGCUGUUGUUGGUGAUGGAACUCGCUUCCUGAGCUGACGACAGCCGCAGAAACCAGGCCGCUGCAACUGUUUAUUAAAAACAUAGCACUCUGCAAACACGAAAGUGGACGUAUAGGGUGUGAUGCCUGCCCGGUGCUGGAAGGUUAAUUGAUGGGGUUAGCGUAAGCGAAGCUCUUGAUCGAAGCCCCAGUAAACGGCGGCCGUAACUAUAACGGUCCUAAGGUAGCGAAAUUCCUUGUCGGGUAAGUUCCGACCUGCACGAAUGGCAUAAUGAUGGCGGCGCUGUCUCCAGCAGAGGCUCAGUGAAAUCGAAAUCGCUGUGAAGAUGCAGUGUACCCGCGGCUAGACGGAAAGACCCCGUGAACCUUUACUGCAGCUUGACACUGAACUUUGACCUUACUUGUGUAGGAUAGGUGGGAGGCUUUGAAGCUGGAACGCUAGUUCCAGUGGAGCCGUCCUUGAAAUACCACCCUGGUAAUGUUGAGGUUCUAACUCUGUCCCGUGAUCCGGGACGAGGACCGUGUCUGGUGGGUAGUUUGACUGGGGCGGUCUCCUCCUAAAGAGUAACGGAGGAGUACGAAGGUGCGCUCAGCGUGGUCGGAAAUCACGCGUAGAGUAUAAAGGCAAAAGCGCGCUUAACUGCGAGACCCACAAGUCGAGCAGGUACGAAAGUAGGUCUUAGUGAUCCGGUGGUUCUGUAUGGAAGGGCCAUCGCUCAACGGAUAAAAGGUACUCUGGGGAUAACAGGCUGAUACCGCCCAAGAGUUCAUAUCGACGGCGGUGUUUGGCACCUCGAUGUCGGCUCAUCUCAUCCUGGGGCUGAAGCAGGUCCCAAGGGUAUGGCUGUUCGCCAUUUAAAGAGGUACGCGAGCUGGGUUUAGAACGUCGUGAGACAGUUCGGUCCCUAUCUACCGUGGGCGCUGGAAAUUUGAGAGGAUCUGCUCCUAGUACGAGAGGACCAGAGUGGACGAACCUCUGGUGUACCGGUUGUGACGCCAGUCGCAUCGCCGGGUAGCUAUGUUCGGAAGGGAUAACCGCUGAAAGCAUCUAAGCGGGAAGCCUACCUCAAGAUAAGAUUUCCCUAGGACUUUAUGUCCUCUAAAGAGCCGUUCGAGACUAGGACGUUGAUAGGUUGGAUGUGGAAGCAUAGUGAUAUGUGAAGCUGACCAAUACUAAUUGCUCGUGAGGCUUGACUAUACAACACCCAAGCAGUUG